GCAGUAGCCACGGGAAUACGUAGGUGGCGAGCGUUGUCCGGAAUUAUUGGGCGUAAAGGGAGCGCAGGCGGGCGAGUAAGUCUUUCUUAAAAGUGCGGGGCUCAACCCCGUGAGGGGAGAGAAACUACUCACCUUGAGUGCAGGAGAGGAAAGCGGAAUUCCUAGUGUAGCGGUGAAAUGCGUAGAUAUUAGGAAGAACACCAGUGGCGAAGGCGGCUUUCUGGACUGUAACUGACGCUGAGGCUCGAAAGCCAGGGGAGCGAACGGGAUUAGAUACCCCUGUAGUCCCUGUCUCUUAUACA
rnacentral:rRNA from 1 species